CCGCCACGGUAAUACGAAGGGGGCUAGCGUUGCUCGGAAUGACUGGGCGUAAAGGGCGCGUAGGCGGUUUUGACAGUCAGAUGUGGAAUUCCUGGGCUUAACCUGGGGGCUGCAUUUGGGACGUCAAGACUAGAGUGUGAGAGAGGGUUGUGGAAUUCCCAGUGUAGAGGUGAAAUUCGUAGAUAUUGGGAAGAACACCGGUGGCGAAGGCGGCAACCUGGCUCAUUACUGACGCUGAGGUGCGAAAGCGUGGGGAGCAAACAGGAUUAGAGACCCCUGUAGUCCCUGUCUCUUAUACACA
rnacentral:rRNA from 1 species